GGGAGCGUUACGGAUUCGACAGGCAUAGGUCGGCUGUUCAAGGCGAUCCGAAGGUUACGUCUUCGCAAAAACGUUACCAGUUAAAUAUAACUGACAAACAAGAAACAAACACUUUAGCAUUCGCAGCGUAAAACCUGCUUGCUAAGAUCCGACUAACAUCGUCCAUGUGUUAAUACCGGGUCCUAUAAUCAGUGGACUACGACUUGCUUAUCCGUCUGUUAAGUAAGUAAGAGAUUAUCAGACUCGCAAAGAUUGAUGCUUGUUUUUGGGCUAGAUCCGCGUUAAAUCUAAACCAUAAACUAUGAUUGUAGAAUUGGACAAGUCGUUAUGCUUGGACGCGGGUUCGACUCCCGCCGCUUCCAUUU
rnacentral:tmRNA from 1 species